UACGUAGGGCGCAAGCGUUAUCCGGAAUUAUUGGGCGUAAAGAGCUCGUAGGCGGUUUGUCGCGUCUGCCGUGAAAGUCCGGGGCUCAACUCCGGAUCUGCGGUGGGUACGGGCAGACUAGAGUGCGGUAGGGGUGACUGGAAUUCCUGGUGUAGCGGUGGAAUGCGUAGAUAUCUGGAGGAACACCAGUGGCGAAGGCGGCUUCCUGGCCUGUAACUGACGCUGAGACGCGAAAGCGUGGGGAGCGAACCGG
rnacentral:rRNA from 1 species